CCCAGACUACAGUGGAAUGAUCCAGGUAGAGACUGCAUUGGCCUGCAUGGAAGAGAGAUUUUCCCAUUUUACUCUAUAACACUGGGAUCAACAUUCAUUAGCUCAGAAGGAUCUAGGUUCAGGCAUGCUGGCAAGGCAUCAAUAUAAGAGAGAAAAGGCCAUGUGAGGACAUGGAAAAACUGUUGUCUGCAAGUGGAGGAAUUUCACAAGUUACCAACCCCGAUGGCAGCUUGAUUGUGGACAUCCAGACUCCCGAACUGAUUGACUGGUUUGAUCUCCUUGCAACUCAAAGGACUCAAGAGUUUCCCCUCAGUUCCACAGUAAGAAAGCAUCAGUUCUUUGGCAUUCAGCCUUCUUUAUGGU